AAAUAAGAAGUAAUUUAUUACAUUCAGUUUCGACCUGAAAAUUUGGUAUCAACUAUACCCUUAUUUU
rnacentral:tRNA from 1 species